GUCUUGUUUUAAAGGGAAUACCUUUUAUUUGGUUUAAUGAAACACUAAUUAAUUCAAGGAAGAACCCCAUCUACCUUUCUGCUCAUUUUUUUAGACAAGGUGAGUGCAUGGGUUGCGCUCCUGGAACUGACAGUUUUGGUUACUCACUAGCAGGCUGCUGAAACAUUUGCAUGGGAAAUCUGUUUUUUAUUCCACAUUGGACACAGGAAAGCUGCUUUGAACGGCUGCAUCUCUGGGCUGGGAGUUGCAGGACUUGAUGGCACGAUGCUUUGCAAGGGAAGGCAGCUGGGGCUCUGCUGGGAGUUAGGAUGAGCCACAGGUUUUGCAAAGCCCCUACGCCCGAGAAAAUCCAGGGAGCAGCACGAUGUUGGGGAACCUGUGCUCCUCGGGGGUGAAUAUGCAGUGCCUGCCCCCAGAAAGCAAACAGAUCCGUGAGCAGAAAGUGGAUGAAAUCUUAGUCCUGGUUUGGCUGAGGCAGGAGGAAACGUAUCUCUGUACCUGACGUCUGAAUGUGGCACGCUGUCCACCUUGUACCUGAUACCUCCUGCCCAGCGGGAUGGAGAACAAGCCAACUUCAUUAGAGAGCUGGCACAAGAUGUGAGGACAUCCUAGAGGCCUUGGAUCGGGAGCAUGAAUUAAUAAGAACCAGUAAGAAGAGGAGAUUGACUGGGAUUCAGAGCCCCGAUGGGAUGCUGUGGGGGGGUUGGGAUUUCUGGACCUGCCCUUCCCAGCGUGGCCACCACACUCAGGGUGAUGCAUCUGCCACAAAGGUGGGGAGAGCAUGGCCUGGAGCUGGGCGCUUCAUCAUGUGCAAUAUACUCUGGGGAGCAAAAGGGCUGGUGUUUAGAUGAUCCCUGUUUGUCCUUCCCUGAGAUAUAUGGGCUGAUGAUUUAUCUGGAGGGCGUCUGCAGCUUGUUAACAGCUCAACCUCCCAUGAAAGCAGCUGCAUCGGUGUUUACCAAAGACUGGCACAGGCUACAGACCCUCCAGGGCCAGCAGGACUGAUCACACCUCUCCCUGGUUUAUUGAAUUCACAGCUCGCAGUUGUGGUUUUGGUGGACUCAGCUAGUGACACCUACUUCACCCAGCAACCUAAGGGGACUGGCCCUGCACCUAGAAUAGAAUCAUAGAAUCGUUUUGGAUGAAAGGAACCCUCAAGAUGAUCCAGUCCGUCCAUUAACCCACCCCUGGCACUACCCCAUGUCCCUGAGAACCUCAUCUCUGUGUCUGUUCAACCCCUCCAGGGAUGGUGACUCCACCACUGCCCUGGGCAGCCUGUUCCAAUGUCCGACAGCCCUUUGGUGAAGAAAUUGUUCCCAAGAUCCAAUCUGAACCUCCCCUGGUGCAACUUUGGGCCAUUUCCUCUUGUCCUGUUCCUUGUUACUUGGAGAAUGGACCAACACCCCCCAUGGCUCCAACCUCCUUCCAUGCAGUUGUAGAGAGCAAGAAGGUCUUCCCUGAGCCUCCUUUUUCUCCAGGCUGAACCCCCCAGUACAUGAUAUAAUAAUGACAAUGGUGUGAUAACCGAGGGUCGUGCCCCCCGCCCGCGGCGCAGGGUGAGCUGUGCGGCACCCUGAGCAGCGGGUCCAUUAGCUGGGCUGGCAAACCGAGAUGAUGAACGUCUCCCCAGAGUUCCCAAGGGUCCUCAGCCACUGCAGGCAAAUAUUUACAAGAGCUCUCCAAGGGAAACCCAUAAACUGCUCCCUGGUACAGCUCUGAGGCUCACUCCAGACAGCUAUAUUAGCUGGAACAUGAAGUAGUUACACUCCUGCUGCUCUUCCAGUGCUUUUGAAACAGAUACUUGUCUCUUUUAUUACCUUUGUUUGUGUCUCGUUUUAUUUGUGCGCUGUGGGCUUCAUUGUGCUGGGUUUGAUACAGUUGUGACUGGUUACAGGUUGGAACAACAAUAAAUACCUUCCA